rnacentral:rRNA from 1 species
UUGACAUCCAGCGAACUUUCCAGAGAUGGAUUGGUGCCUUCGGGAACGCUGAGACAGGUGCUGCAUGGCUGUCGUCAGCUCGUGUUGUGAAAUGUUGGGUUAAGUCCCGNAACGAGCGCAACCCUUAUCCUUUGUUGCCAGCGAUUCGGUCGGGAACUCAAAGGAGACUGCCGGUGAUAAACCGGAGGAAGGUGGGGAUGACGUCAAGUCAUCAUGGCCCUUACGAGUAGGGCUACACACGUGCUACAAUGGCGCAUACAAAGAGAAGCGACCUCGCGAGAGCAAGCGGACCUCAUAAAGUGCGUCGUAGUCCGGAUCGGAGUCUGCAACUCGACUCCGUGAAGUCGGAAUCGCUAGUAAUCGUGGAUCAGAAUGCCACGGUGAAUACGUUCCCGGGCCUUGUACACACCGCCCGUCACACCAUGGGAGUGGGUUGCAAAAGAAGUAGGUAGCUUAACCCUCGGGAGGGCGCUUACCACUUUGUGAUUCAUGACUGGGGUGAAGUCGUAACAAGGUAAGCGUAGUGCU